rnacentral:rRNA from 1 species
UACGUAGGGCGCGAGCGUUGUCCGGAAUUAUUGGGCGUAAAAGAGCUCGUAGGCGGCCUGUUGCGUCCGCUGUGAAAUCCCGGGGCUCAACCCCGGGCUUGCAGUGGAUACGGGCUGGCUAGAGGCAGGCAGGGGAGAACGGAAUUCCCGGUGUAGCGGUGAAAUGCGCAGAUAUCAGGAGGAACACCGAUGGCGAAGGCAGGUCUCUGGGCCGAUACUGACGUGGAGGAGCGAAAGCGUGGGGAGCGAACAGG